rnacentral:rRNA from 1 species
CAGCAGCCGCGGUAAUACAGAGGGUGCGAGCGUUAAUCGGAUUUACUGGGCGUAAAGCGUGUGUAGGUUGUUGUUCAAGUCAGUUGUGAAAUCCCUGGGCUCAACCUGGGAACUGCUUCUGAGACUGAACGACUAGAGUACGGUAGAGGGUGGUGGAAUUUCCGGUGUAGCGGUGAAAUGCGUAGAUAUCGGAAGGAACAUCAAUGGCGAAGGCAGCCACCUGGGCCUGUACUGACACUGAGACACGAAAGCGUGGGGAUCAAACAGGAUUAGAUACCCCAGUAGUCCCUGUCUCUUAUAC